UACGUAGGGGGCGAGCGUUGUCCGGAUUUAUUGGGCGUAAAGAGCGUGUAGGCGGCCUGGCAGGUCUGCUGUGAAAACUCGAGGCUCAACCUCGAGAUGUCGGCGGAAACCGUCUGGCUAGAAUCCGGAAGAGGAGAGUGGAAUUCCUGGUGUAGCGGUGAAAUGCGCAGAUAUCAGGAGGAACACCGGUGGCGAAGCCGGUUCUCUGGGCAUUACCUGACGCUGAGGAGCGAAAGCGUGGGGAGCGAACAGG
rnacentral:rRNA from 1 species